CGUAUAUUUAAGUUGUUGCAGUUAAAAAGCUCGUAGUUGGAUUUCGGGUGGGUUUCAGCGGUCCGCCUAUGGUGAGUACUGCUGUGGCCUAUCUUACUGUCGGGGACCUGCUUCUGGGCUUCAUUGUCCGGGACAGGGAUUCGGCAUGGUUACUUUGAGUAAAUUAGAGUGUUCAAAGCAGGCUUACGCCGUGAAUACUUUAGCAUGGAAUAACAUGAUAGGACUCUGCCCUAUUCUGUUGGCCUGUAGGAGUGGAGUAAUGAUUAAGAGGAACAGUCGGGGG
rnacentral:rRNA from 1 species